rnacentral:rRNA from 1 species
GAUGAACGCUGGCGGCGUGCCUAAUACAUGCAAGUAGAACGCUGAAGGAAGGAGCUUGCUCUUUCCGGAUGAGUUGCGAACGGGUGAGUAACGCGUAGGUAACCUGCCUGGUAGCGGGGGAUAACUAUUGGAAACGAUAGCUAAUACCGCAUAACAGUAGAUGUUGCAUGAUAUCUACUUAAAAGGUGCAAUUGCACCACUACCAGAUGGACCUGCGUUGUAUUAGCUAGUUGGUGAGGUAACGGCUCACCAAGGCGACGAUACAUAGCCGACCUGAGAGGGUGAUCGGCCACACUGGGACUGAGACACGGCCCAGACUCCUACGGGAGGCAGCAGUAGGGAAUCUUCGGCAAUAGACGGAAGUCUGACCGAGCAACGCCGCGUGAGUGAAGAAGGUUUUCGAAUCGUAAAGCUCUGUUGUAAGAGAAGAACGAGUGUGAGAGUGGAAAGUUCACACUGUGACGGUAUCUUACCAGAAAGGGACGGCUAACUACGUG